CAUGGUUAGCUGUACGCUGCAAAGUUAUUUUAAUGCAUCCUGUGAUGUUUAUUGCAAAAAUAUGUGUGAAGUGACAUAAAUUGGUUGAAAGGAUUCUACAAGAACAGAUUAGGCAUAGUUUUCGGGCAAAAGUAUAGCCAUGUGUCGUGUUGAUUAGUAUAUUGACCUUGUUGACGUUAUCCCGAAACGGUACUCGCCUACUGACACCGUUGUGAUCUAUCUCAGAAGUUUAAAUUCUACGGUAAUCCACCAGAGUCCAAGAGUAAACUCUCAGAGAGGGGUGGCAGUCCGAUUUUGUUAACUUACUCGACUUGGAGAGGGAAGAUAAUGUACAUUUGGAAAGUUACAUUUGACCAGAAUGUAUGCGAUGUGCUGCAUAAUGGUUUUGAAGGAAAAGGUUACACUAUUUAUUACAGACAGCAAGGAAACAUCAUUGAAAACCACCAACUAAUAAGACUCCAAAGGAAUAAUGGAAAAUCAGAUAUUUAAAGCUGUUAAAAAGCAGAGAUUAGAGUUCAGUGGAUUCCAUGACGGUACUUUGGAUAAUGUUAAUCAGGCAGCAAUUCUUUUCCAAAGGAUCUUAAGUGCUUUUAGAAGAGGCUAAUAAACAAAGGACAGUCACUUACUACAGAAGAGAAGCAGGGGAGAUUAGUGAUAUUCUGAGUGGCAUGACUGCACCUUACAAAGAUGUAAAACUUUAAAAAUUGUGUUUACAUAUACAAUGAUUAUAUGAUAAAUGUAUCUAGUAAUCAAUAUUAAUAUGAUUAAUAUUUUCAAAUGUUUUUUUUUACAUUUUACUGUUCAUUAAUGAAAAAAAUAAUUUGUGUUGUAUUUGAAUUUGGAAAUGUAAAGGAAUUUAUUUUAAAAUGUAAACUGAUAUUCUUACAUGUAAACAUGUACUGGCGUAUGUACAUGGUAUAUUUAUUGGACUCUGACAAAAGAUGAUGCUACUUCUUUUUUGUUGAAAUUAUUAAUCACAAUGAUAUUUGUGCACAUGC